AAAACUAGCCAGUACAAUAUCCGUGUGCUGAUGGGGGCCAACGGCGCCAGUGAGGUUGCUGCGGAGAAGUUCUGCCAAGGGAUACAGACCAGCCUUCUCGCCAAAGAGCUGCUGCAGGUGUCCAACUUCUGAAUCACUGUGGUAGAUGAUGCUUCUUGCCUCAGGGAUUUGUGUGACAAAGAGUCAGAAAGUCAUCACUCCAAGUGGUGUCCCCAGUCAGCGGGGGCAUUGUACUCCUAAGAAAGAGUUCCUGGGCCUCAAAAAUGGCCCCUCUGAUUCACUAUGCCGUUGCCAAACAUUUUAUAAGAGACAAGUGUCCUGGAGGCUCCUGGCUAUCCCAGAUGGACGCUGAAAUGGCCAGCUGUGAAGGACUAAGGAGGGCGCUGUGGAAAGUUUCCUCUGAUUAUCAUCUCACAGUUUAGUAGAGGGACUGCAGAGAUGGCCCCGCAGUUAAAAGCACCGGCUGCUCUUCUGAAGGAGCCAAGCAUGGGCAUUCCAGGGAAGGGGUGUGCUUCUGGAAGCCCAAUUUAUCCAAAGUCAAUGUGUUAUACAGAAAUAUAUAAGAAGAAAGACUCUGCUGAGAGACUGGAGUACCCCGACACUGAAGAGUUCACUAAGGGCAAAGGUAACAAUACUGUGUGCAUGCCCCCCAGCCAGGAAGUCACAGAAGCUGGUCUGAACUGAUUCAGCUACCUUUGGCUAUUACUGUCUACUGUAUCUGUUGGGGGGCAUUGCUGAUCGAUCUGGAGUGACCACCUGUAUUUAUACCCAGCUGAAGUCAACCACCGUCUUUACUCUUCUUUAUUCUUCUUUGCUUCCUGUUUUGGGGGUGGAGUUAGUCUAAUCAAAAGGGACACUGAUGCUGGGUAAGGUGUAUGUCUUCUAUCCCAGCGCUUGGGAGGUAGAAACACGAAGAUCUGAAGCCCAAAGCUAGAAUCAUCAGUGGGAUGAGUUCAAGACCAAACUGCUCUAACAUGAGACUGUCUUAAAAUGUGUAGGUGGUGACCAGAGGACCUAUAAUCUCGAGUAUCUAUCUAUCUAUCUAUCUAUCUAUCUAUCUAUCAAUUCUAAAAUAUGAAGCCUAUUGUGCCUUGCUACCUAGAGUGAAAUCUGUUGACAAUUUAUUUAUGUUGUAGGGAUUUGCAAUGAUUAUCUAUGAAUUGGGUGAGGUUAUUUAACUAUAAGACUAUACCAAGAUUUGUCAACAAUGGAAAUUUGAGUCUUUUUUAUUCUGAAUGUAAAUCUCUGUGGUUUUAUACUGUUUUAGAGGGUUUUUUUGGGUAACACCAUAAGAGUGUAAUGGUAUGUUAGGACUUCUAUAAUAACCCCUGAAAUGAUUUUAAGAGGAUCUAAUGACUGGCAUUUGGCCAGUAAGUAGGAGAGUUCGAUACCCUGUAUUGAAUGAAGUAUGUCCUUUGAGCCCCUGUAUGAAAGGCUUGUUCCUCAGCUACUAAUGCUCUUGAGAAGUGAGUAUAUCAAAAAAUGUUUUAACUUCAACAAUGGACUCAUGCAUUGAUAAAUUCAUAGGUGAAUGGACAAUUAGUAGAAAGAAUGUACUUGGAAGAAGUAGGUUGAGGUGGGGGUGGGGCACUUUCAGUGGCACCUCUUUUGCUAUAAUAAACAGCACUACCAAAAUCACUUGUAGAAAGCAACUUGGAGGAAAAAAAACUACAAAGCAACUUGAAGAAAACAAAGAGUGGAGGUAUUUUAGUUUACAAGUUGUAGUCCAUCACCAAAGGAAGCCAAGGCAUGAAGUUAAGGCAGGGACCUGGAGCAGGAACGGGGAUCAAACCAUGAAGAAAUGCUGCCUAUUAGCUUACCCCCUCUGACUUGCAUACACCAUAUACCUAUAGAUGGAACUGGCUACAGAGGAGUGUGUCCUCAUACAUCAAUUAGGAAUUAAAGAAAUGUCUUACAGACCUGGCCACAGGCCAGUCUGAAUGAGAAAAUUCAUUACUGUCGCUCCCUCUUCCCAAGUGAUUUUUGCCAAAUUGACAGCUGACGCUAACAGUGAAUGUUGAUUACUUUCUGUCCCUGGGAUAAAACACCAUGACCAAGGCAACUUACAGAAGAAUGAGUUUAUUUGGCCCGUGGUUCUAAGGGGUUAGAGUCUAUGGUGGUGUAGACAGUUGGGCAGCAGGGGCAGGCACGGCGGCUAGAGCAGAAAACUGACAUCUCAUUAUCUUGAGUUGCAAGCACAAAGCAGAGAGAGAAACCUUGAAAUGGUGAGGCUCUUUAAACUGUCCAAGUCCACUUCCUCUGAAAUACUUCCUCCAACAGGACUAAUUUUUCUACACCUCCUGAAACAGCACCACCAAAUGGGGACUAAGUGUUCAAAAACAUGAGCCUUUGAGAACAACCUCAUUUAAACCACUACAGGGGCAUGCCUGAGAAGGUUAUAUCUUAUCUCAGGACUCUUCGCCUCCUACUCUCUGCUCAUGUAUGCCAUGCAGAGAGCCAGUUUAUUCCGCUUUAUGUUCUCUACCCUGACGUUUGGCCUCACAAACCAUGAAGCCAAGUAACUACCCACAGACGAAAAGCUCUAAGGCUAUGGUCCAGAAUAAAUCCUAUUUCCUUAGCUUGUUCCCUUGGCAAUUGAUCACAGCAAUGCAAAGCUGUCUCACACAGCUACAAUGCUCCAUAGUAUUUGUCACAGACCCUUUACUUUCUGCUGAAUGUAUUUAAUUAAAGCUGUACGUGUACUAAUAACUCAGUAAAACUCUAACUGUAUUUCCCUAGUGAGUAAUGAGAUUGCCUGUAUUUUCCUGUGUUUGAAUCUUUUUGUUUAAAACACAGACAUUUUGCCCAUCUUGUUUAAUUAUGUUACUUUUAAUAUGCAUACAGAUAUCUAUAAAACAUGUUCUUAUUAAGAUACAUAUCUGCUUUUAUUUGUAUUUUCUUGCAUUUUACUCAUCGCCAUGUUUAUAGUUUUUGAUGCACAUGUCUUAAAAUCUCUUAUAAAUUUAUUUCUAACUGUUUC